rnacentral:misc_RNA from 1 species
AAAUUUCACAGUCUUCCCCAUGCAAGAUUUCCAAGAUAGUUUUUCUUGUGUAGAUAAGUAACAAGAAUUCUCCAUAGUUUUGCAAGAAAUUAAAUAGUUCUGCCACUAUGGUCUAAGUUUAAGUUAGAAUAUUCGGUCUUGCACGUCCAAGGUUUUGGGUUCAAGGUUCAAACCAAAGGCGUUCUCUAAAUAGAUCCUUUUUAGGCAAUGGAUAUUGAUACAAACAAUGAAUUAAAAUUAUAUUAAAAUUAUGAUUCUCUAAUAUGGCGUUCAGGACUUGGGUGUGUUCUGUUCUUGAGUUUAGAAUGCAUUUAAACUGAUUCGGUUUCAACCUUUCGUCGGAAUACGGCUUGAAUUCGUAAACGAGGAAGAUAUCAGUCAUAUCCGUCUACGAAACUAGUUUUUUUUUACUAGUUCUUUUAUUAGCGCAGAUCAGACGUGAGUGGCACGUGAUCUGAUCCCUCACAGAUGUUAGGAACUUCAUGUGGUUUGUUUUAAGUCUGUUUUUAGUUACAUCAUCAGGUUUUCGGCUGUUUUUUACAGGACAUCCGACAGAAUCGACACAAAAUCCCCGGUAAGGACUAUUUUUGUCCAGCCCAUUGAACUCAACGGUCCAUCCUCCCACUGUGACGUCAGAGUCUCGUGCGCAGAUUUCGCAAUGAUGAAUUUUUUAUUAACGGAGUGGAAACACCGGUAUGGUGCAUUGUACUAGACUAUGGUACAUUGAUUUGCACAAGUAGCAAUUAGUACCACAGUCAGAUCAGUGCUACCAUUACUAAUAAAAUGGCAACUGGAAAGGGAAAGGUAGCAAUUAUAGGCAGUGGUUUGAUUGGCAAGUCUUGGUCAGUUCUUUUCUGUCGGGCUGGAUACGAGGUUAAUAUAUAUGACAUUGAUGAGAAGCAAGUGUCAAAUGCCUUGUCUGGGAUUCUUGAAUCAUUGCAAGAGUUAGAAAGCCAAGGAUUGCUUAAGGAUUCACCAAUCAACUCUGCUCAAGAGGCGUAUAAGUUGGUUACUGGUUGUAAUGAUCUUGGAAAAGCUAUUGAAGGAGCCAUUUAUGUGCAGGAGAACACUCCAGAAAAUAUUGACAUAAAAAAGAAAGUUUUUCUAAAUCUUGAUGGUCUUGUGAAAAAUGAUGAGAUCAUUCUUGCUAGUUCAACAUCUUGUAUUGUUCCUUCCCGAUUCAGUGAAGCUCUCAAACAUCGCAAACAGUGCAUUGUGGCUCAUCCGGUGAACCCUCCGCAUUAUGUGCCACUGGUUGAGAUAGUACCAGCACCUUGGACGGAAAGCUCAGUUGUAGAGAAAACAGUAGCAAUAAUGAAAGAUAUUGGACAGGCACCAGUGACUUUAAAGAAGGAAAUGAAUGGGUUUUUAUUGAACAGGAUACAAUAUGCUAUCAUUAUGGAAGGCUGGCGACUUGUCGAGGAUGGUGUGUGUACGCCAGAGGAUGUCGACACAGCCAUGAGCAAGGGACUGGGAUUGAGAUAUUCAUUCAUGGGUCCAUUUGAAACAAUGCACUUGAAUGCUGGAGGAAUUUUGGAUUAUUGUGAGAAGUAUGGAGCGAAUAUUGAGAAGAUUUGCACAGAACAGGGAUCAUCAAGAUCUCUUGCUGGUUCAAACACAGCACAUGUUGUUCAUAAUGCAAUGUGUGAAGCAAGUGCUCCUGUUGAGAAACUAGAGGAACGCAGAGCGUGGAGGGACAAACGAUUGUCAAGACUAGCUGUCCACCAAGCAAGCCAGAAAGAUUGAUGAUGAAAUUAAUAUCAUAAACAAGACUUUGAUUAAAAACAUUUUUCCAAAAUUAAAAGUGUCUCAUAAGCAUGUCGACAUAUUGGCAUUCUUUGUGGUAUUUAAGUAAAAUGGUAUUCGUUGAGUGUAUUUGAAUC